rnacentral:rRNA from 1 species
CGUCCUCAACCUGCCGUCGACAUCCGACUGCAGCUCUUGCUGCAAGCUGCAAUGGAAUACCGUCCUCCUAAUGGUUUCAUGAGCUUCCUUCAAGGCCAAAGUCAUCCAAACUUCACUUUGCCAGCCCCUCAGCAGCUUGGUUUCCAAUAUCCAAUGUUCUGCACGCAGCCGCCGCCACCACCAGCCAAGCACCACCCUCUUCCAUCAACGUCUAAUCCCAGGACCACAACUCCAUCGAACAAGCGAAAACGUGUCACAAUCGAUGUGGAAGCAGAUGAUGAAGAUAGACAGAGGUUGUACUAUACAAAAGAUGAGGACCUCAGAUUGGUGAGUGCUUGGUUAAGCAAAUCUGUGAAUCCAAUCGAUGGGAAUGCCAAGAAGGGGGAAUACUACUGGAAGGAGGUUGUUGAUACAUACAACAGCACAACAGAGAGUGACCGACAAAGGGAUGUGAAGCACCUCAAGAACCAUUGGUACAAAACAACAAAGAAGGUAACCUCUUUCAAUGGCUGCUAUAACCAGAUGAGAGAUACCUAUGCGAGUGGCCGGUGUGAUAAACAAUUGAUGCAGCAAGCGCUAGACCUGUACCAAAGCCGCAAUGGGCACCAGUUCCUGUAUGUGCAUUGGUGGGAAGCUGUGAAAGACAGCCAAAAGUGGAAGAUUCAUGUAUACACAGAAGGAGAUGGAACAAAGAGGUCAGCACCAAUACCAACUGAGAAUGCUCAGCGUCCCCCAGGAACAAAGAGGGCGAAGAAAGCUACAGGAAAAGAUAAGGAAGCACCUACUGAGAUGAAUAACAUGAAAGAACAGAUUGAGGUCUUUCUACAAGCACAAGCUGAUGCUAAGGAGCGAACUGCUGAGAUGAUGGAAUUGCAGAGUCGAUUGUCUGCUCAGAAGGUAGAAGCUAAUCGACUUGCAUAUGAGGCAGCAAAGGAGAGGACAGUGGCCAAGUUAGCAGAGGAAAGAACAAAGUUGUUUGACAAGUUCACAGAUAUGUUGAAUGCUGACACAACAAGAAUGGAGCCAUGGGCAAAGGAGAUGCAUAUGAAGGCUGUUACAAGAUUGGGGGAUCAACUUUUC